AAACCAGCACCUCAAGUGGUCAGGAGGUUUAUUGGGCCUAAAGCAUCCGUAGCCGGCUCAGUAAGUUUUCGGUUAAAUCUGUACGCUCAACGUACAGGCUGCCGGGAAUACUGCAGAGCUAGGGAGUGGGAGAGGUAGACGGUACUCGGGAGGAAGUGGUAAAAUGCUUUGAUCUCUCGAUGACCACCUGUGGCGAAGGCGGUCUACCAGAACACGUCCGACGGUGAGGGAUGAAAGCUGGGGGAGCAAACCGGAUUAGAAACCCGAGUAGUCC
rnacentral:rRNA from 1 species